rnacentral:rRNA from 1 species
ACGAACGCUGGCGGCGUGCUUAACACGUGCCAGUCGCACGGAAAGGCCCUGCUUUUGUGGGGUGCUCGAGUGGCGAACGGGUGAGUAACACGUGAGUAACCUGCCCUUGACUUUGGGAUAACUUCAGGAAACUGGGGCUAAUACCGGAUAGGAGCUCCUGCUGCAUGGUGGGGGUUGGAAAGUUUCGGCGGUUGGGGAUGGACUCGCGGCUUAUCAGCUUGUUGGUGGGGUAGUGGCUUACCAAGGCUUUGACGGGUAGCCGGCCUGAGAGGGUGACCGGCCACAUUGGGACUGAGAUACGGCCCAGACUCCUACGGGAGGCAGCAGUGGGGAAUAUUGCACAAUGGGCGGAAGCCUGAUGCAGCAACGCCGCGUGCGGGAUGACGGCCUUCGGGUUGUAAACCGCUUUCGCCUGCGACGAAGCGUGAGUGACGGUAAUGGGUAAAGAAGCACCGGCUAACUACGUG